CUUCUCUGUCUUGUCUAAGGCAGAGGUAGGUGCUCUAUCCACAGCAGGGGAAGAAGCAGCCCACACACAGUUACCUAAAUGAAAUAUAUUGAGUGCCUGCCUCUAAAGAAGAAUUCAAUGAAGCCCAAUAUUUAACCAUAAAGCAAAUUAUCAAAUAAGCGUUUGGUGCAAAUGAGAACGGACAUGUUUUGUUUCCAAAGAAAUGAAAAGGCAGACUUGGGAGGUAUAUAUUAGUUGCUUAUACAUGACAACUUUUAUGAAUUAGAAUGAACUUCUGAGCUGAUGAAGCUGAGUCCUCACGGGUGAUGGUAGUGUAUUCCGGAGGCAAGCAUGCCUAACACAGUGAACAUUUUUAUUCAAUAAACAGUGAGAUUAGUAGCUAUUACUACAUGGCAAAGUGCUAUGGGCAUCAAAUGUGGGAAGAAGCAAGUUCAGAGAACA